UAGCCGUAAACGAUACUCGCUAGGUGUCGGCCACGGUGCGACCGUUGUCGGUGCCGUAGGGAAGCCGUGAAGCGAGCCACCUGGGAAGUACGGCCGCAAGGCUGAAACUUAAAGGAAUUGGCGGGGGAGCACCACAACGGGUGGAGCUUGCGGUUUAAUUUGGAUUCAACGCCGGAAAUCUUACCGGGACCGACAGCAACAUGAAGGCCAGGCUGAAGACUUUGCCGGAUUAGCUGAGAGGAGGUGCAUGGCGUAGUCGUGU
rnacentral:rRNA from 1 species